rnacentral:misc_RNA from 1 species
AAAGUCGUAACAAGGUUUCCGUAGGUGAACCUGCGGAAGGAUCAUUAUUGAAUCCUUAGGAUGUUGCUGGCCUCUAGGGGCAUGUGCACUCCACCUUUUCAAUCCACCUGUGCACUUAUUGUAGUCCCGGAUGAUAAAAAGUCUGGUGUCUAUGUCUUUUAAUACACACUACAAAAAAGUUUAUAGAAUGUCUAUUGGAUAAGACCUUUGAUGGUCAAUAAUGUUAAUACAACUUUCAACAAUGGAUCUCUUGGUUCUC